UGUGCCUGUAUGAUGUGUGUAGGACAGAUGUGUUCAUGAUAUGUGUGUGAGCAUGGCGUGUGUGUAUGCAUGAUGUAUUAAGAGCUAUCUUACUAGCCCAUCCUUUGUUUUUUGACUAUUGGUGUAAUGUCAUCAGCUGCUUCAAGCUCAUGCUGCCUUGAUUCCCCCACCAUGGUGGACCAUAUCUUGACUGUAGGGUAGAAUAAACCCUUUCUCUCUUCAGUACAUUAUGUAAUUCAGAUGGCAGAAAUGUGUGUGUAUGCAUUAUGUGUAUGUGUGUGCAUUAUGCGUGUGUGCAAUGUGUGUGUGUGGCAUGUGGUGUGCUGUGAUGUACAUGUGUAGCUGAGAGGACAACACUGUGGAGUUGGUUCUCUCCUUCCACACUUUAGUGUGGCUUGGGGCAUUGGAUUCAGGUCUCCAGGUUUGCCUGCCAGUGUCAGUACUCAGUAAGCCGUCCCGCUAGCCUGCCAGUGUCUGUACCCAGUAAGCUGUCCCGCUUGCCUGCCAGUGUCCGUACCCAGUAAGCUGUCCCGCUUGCCUGCCAGUGUCCGUACCCAGUAAGCUGUCCCGCUUGCCUGCCAGUGUCCGUACCCAGUAAGCUGUCCCGCUUGCCUGCCAGUGUCCGUACCCAGUAAGCUGUCCCGCUUGCCUGCCAGUGUCCGUACCCAGUAAGCUGUCCCGCUUGCCUGCCAGUGUCCGUACCCAGUAAGCUGUCCCGCUUGCCUGCCAGUGUCCGUACCCAGUAAGCUGUCCCGCUUGCCUGCCAGUGUCAAUACCCAGUAAGCUGCCCCACUGGCCCGUUCUUUGCCUUUUGGCUGUUGACGCAAUGUGACCAGCUGCUAAAGGUCCUGCUGUCUCGACUGCCCACCAUGAUGGCCUUCUCUCGACUGUAGGCUUCAGGUGAUCCCACACCACAUCAGCCAGCAAGAACGGCCUAUUGUCAGGCUGCCAACCUUUAAUGGAGAUUGGACAUCAACCUCUGAGAAGACCCCUGGAGGAGUGCAGAAGCUACAGCGGGGAGCUGGUUAACCCUGAAAGCCUUUAAGGGAAGAAGGGAGGAAGAUGAAGAUACAUAUGGGUCUGUGUUGGGGUCAAGAGCCCCCUGCUUGAAGAACAUAAACCUACACUCAUUCACUGUUAGAUCCGAGGCAGCUGGAGCAUCAAGGCACCCUCUGAAGAUGGCGCCUCUGGUUGGAGGACUCAAGGCUGCAGUUGAACUGCGCAGGUUGAGAGCGCUUGCUCCAUUCCCCUGACUCAGACCUUGGUGACCCCGUCUUGGGCCGUUUCUUUGUCACCAGACAACUGGAGUCCAUUAUCCUCCAGUAGCAUCACAUAGCCUUGUGAUGGGGGUGGGGUGCACCUCAGCAGUUAGCUGUUAAAUUUGUGGUCCAGGCAGAUGUGGUGGUAAAUGGCUUUGAUUUCAGCACUUGGGCGGCAGUGGCAGCCAGAUCUUCGUGAGUUCAAGGCUAGUGUGUUCCACAUAGCGAGCACUAAGUGAGUCAGAGCAGCAUAGUGAGAGCCUGUCUCCAUGACAACGAAAUAAAGAAAUGGAACUGA